ensembl:lncRNA
CUUUAACAAACUCCGGAGAAAGGGUCCGUUCUGACCCUGAAGCAGCACAGAGAGUCUGCUCUUUUGGCAGAGCGGCCACAAAUGCCACCUUUGUACACUGCCAUGCAGCUUAAAGGCAGCUGCAGAGGAGACUGCCUGAAAGUAAGCUGAAAAAAAUGUCAGCUAAGGUCAGGAGGAAAUAAGCUGCUCUGCAGUGGGGAUAAAGCCAGGCUCUGUACAUGUGGCAUGGCUGUUUGCUUCCAGCGUAAUUAACUUCCUCAGAAGAAAAGCAAGUUUUGAAGAGUGUUCUAGGAGCAGCAGACUAUUGGCACCACUGAGCGUUCACAUUACAACUGAGGAUUAGAAGCCCAGAACAAACCUUUCCUGCUUCAUCAACUGCAAGCUUCCUCGACCUGAGUCAGUCCAUAAGAGCAGUUUCAAGUAGUCUAAUGCUGUCACUAUCCAGUAAAUUUAAUACUGAGUGCACUACAUAACCUUCUCCAGUUAACACUGACUGUUCUGAAGACCUAUCCACCUAGAAUCCAAGGACUGAGGCUUCUAGAAAGGUCCCUGAGUCACCCUCACACCUGCUAAUAGUGAAGACUUAUUCAUUUUCACUUUGUCUCAGCAACUAUAUAACUCCUGAAUCCAUUUUCAACAGCCAGUGGAUUCAUAACAGGUUUCAAACUGAGAACCAGCUUUUGCAUUCCGAAAGAACAUCCUUCCCACAGCACUCACCAGUUACAAAUACAACCAACUUCUCUUCUUGAAAGAGCUCUUCAACUCUUCUCACAGGACUAGCUUUAGUCCUAUUUUCUUCUUAGCACAUGAAGAGAGUCAUAAUUUGCCUUCAUUAAUCUGAGCAAUUUGCCUUCAUUAAUCUGAGCAAUCAGAAUCAGCUGCACCCAGAACUCCUGUGCCCUCCCCUGCAGCCAUACUCCAACAGGGAUGCAAUUCCCAAAGAGACAAAUGAGCCAAAAGAACAAUGGAUUAUUCUAUUGUGGUCAUCAAAACAGGACUUUGUGACAGCUGUCCCAGUUCAGCAGAGCUAUGGCAUUCAGGCCUAGAACAGCCAUGUGAAACUCAACUUCGUGCUGCAUAGGACAGUAAACGAGUUUGUAACCUGAAGGAUCACCUGAAGGGUUUUAAGUUGAAGGAGGAAAGAUUUAUGUUGGAUGUCAGAUGAAGUUAUUUACUGUGAGAGUGGUGAGGUGCUGGAACAGCUGCCCAGAGAGGCUGUGGAUGCCCCGUCCAUCCCUGGAGUGUUUUUCAUCUGCCAAACGGACACAUCCAUCCAUCCAUCCAUCCAAAAGAAGUAAGGCCACCUGAUUCUUUGCUUGUGUGAGGCGUUACAGUGAAAAUUCUAAUCUUUUCUUU